rnacentral:lncRNA from 1 species
GAUCUCUCAGGGGCAAGCAUGUUUCUCUUGGAUAAGAGUGGGGUGAAAGGCACUAUCGAAGUCUGAAUGCUGGUUGCAGAAGAUAAUUUGAAGAAUGGGAACAUUAAGCCAUACUCAUUCAACCUACUCUUUAAGAGUUUGACAGGAGGGCCUAUACCUGCAUAUGCUCCCACCUCCAUCCCAAGGGGAAAAAGAUGUCAAUGUUUCCACAGGUCAGGACUGCAGCACAGCUUAGCUGGUCUCUGUUCGUGGUCUCACAAAGCUGCGACCAAGGUGUCUGCUGGGCCGCAUUCUCCUCUGGAGGCUUCACUGGAGAAGAAGGUGCUUCCAAGCUCAUCUGGGUUACUGCAGCUGUGUGAGUGAGGG